GAUGAACGCUGGCGGCGUGCCUAAUACAUGCAAGUCGAGCGAACAGAUGAGGAGCUUGCUCCUCUGACGUUAGCGGCGGACGGGUGAGUAACACGUGGAUAACCUACCUAUAAGACUGGGAUAACUUCGGGAAACCGGAGCUAAUACCGGAUAAUAUAUUGAACAGCAUGGUUCAAUAGUGAAAGACGGUUUUGCUGUCACUUAUAGAUGGAUCCGCGCCGCAUUAGCUAGUUGGUAAGGUAACGGCUUACCAAGGCAACGAUGAGUAGCCGACCUGAGAGGGUGAUCGCCAACACUGGAACUGAGACACGGUCCAGACUCCUACGGGGGGCAGCAGUAGGGAAUCUUCCGCAAUGGGCGAAAGCCUGACGAAGCAACGCCGCGUGAGUGGUGACAGUCUACGGAUCGUAAAACUCUGUUAUUAGGGAAGAACAAAUGUGUAAGUAACUAUGCACGUCUUGACGGUACCUAAUCAGAAAGCCACGGCUAACUACGUG
rnacentral:rRNA from 1 species